UCCCGCCGCCGCCGCCGCCGCCGCCGAGCCAAGCUCAGCCCUCCUCCCUCCUCCGCCCCCUCCAGCCCGCCGGCCUUUUAACGCCGCUUCCCCCUCGGCGCCUCGGGCGGGGCGGGCCAGCCUUUCCUCGCCGCCGCGCCUCUCCUUCCUCCGAGGGACGCGAUGCUGCUGCUGCUGGGUCUCCUCGCGGUGCAAGCCUUACGCGUCUCCGGAGCCCUGCGCCUCCCGCCCGCCGGCUCGUGCGCCUUCGACGGCAGCGCCUGUGGCUACGCGUCCGAGCCGGCGACCCUGCCGUGGACCCUGAGCGAGGAAGAGUGUGGCAGCUGGAGAAAGGUGAAUUCCUGAGUUCUUUAAGAAAGGAGUGGAAAGUAAAACAGCCAAUUGUAAGAAUCUAAGGUACUACUGCAGUUGGAAUGUUUCACCUCAGAAAAGGAAAUUGAGUUCUGGUCCCCUUGCCUCAAAAAGCAGCUCUCCAGUGAGGCAUGGCAGCAACAUGCGGAACACUUCAGUUUAGAGAAAAUCAGGAAUAUAAUCUGAGAUCUGCUGAUUUGCCAGUUUGCUAGUCCUGGAGAUAGGCUGCAAUAGAUGGGCAGCUUGCAAAAUAGACCUUGUGUAUUAUGCCAUACUUAUUGUUUAGCGAUGUGAGCUGUGGGGGAAAUUAUGAA